rnacentral:rRNA from 1 species
GAGUCUGAUCCUGGCUCAAGAUGAACGCUGGCGGCGUGCCUAACACAUGCAAGUCGAACGGGGUAUAUAAGCGGAAGUUUACGGAUGGAAGGUUAUAUACUUAGUGGCGGACGGGUGAGUAACGCGUGGGCAACCUGCCCCGUGCCGGGGGAUACCGCCUGGAAACAGGCGCUAAUACCGCAUAAGCGCAUACAGCCGCAUGGGUGUAUGCGGAAAGCUCCGGCGGCACGGGAUGGGCCCGCGCCCGAUUAGCCAGUUGGCGGGGUAACGGCCCACCAAAGCGACGAUCGGUAGCCGGCCUGAGAGGGCGGACGGCCACAUUGGGACUGAGACACGGCCCAAACUCCUACGGGAGGCAGCAGUGGGGAAUAUUGCACAAUGGGGGAAACCCUGAUGCAGCAACGCCGCGUGGGUGAAGGAGCGUUUCGGCGCGUACAGCCCUGUCAGCGGGGAAGAAGAAAGACGGUACCCGACCAAGAAGCCCCGGCUAACUACGUGCCAGCAGCCGCGGUAAUACGUAGGGGGCGAGCGUUAUCCGGAAUUACUGGGUGUAAAGGGAGCGUAGACGGCGAGGUAACCCUGAAGUGAAACCCCGCGGCCCAACCGCGGAACUGCUUUGGGAACUGUUUUGCUCGAGUAUGGGAGGGGUAAGCGGAAUUCCUGGUGUAGCCNUCGACUGGCGUAAAUAUCAGGACGAA